UUUUCUCUUUCCCUUUUUACUUUCUCAUUUCUUUCUCUUUCUACUUUCUCUUCUCUCUUCUGGUUUCACAUCAAUGACUAUUUUCUCUUUCUCUUUCUACUUUCUAUUCUCGCUUCUGGUUUCACAUCAAUAACUAUUUUCUCUUUCUCUUUGGAUUUUUGGUUUAUGAACUAUUAUCAUGUGUUUGUUUCAGAUCUUGCAGAAGCACUGCUUGAAUGCAAAGAAAAUGUUCAAGAUCUUUUAUGGUAUGUGCAAUAUAAGACCCUUCCACUUUUUCUAUUUUCUACCACCUAUGUUGUGUCAAAUUACUCUAAAGGUUGAAGGAUGCAAAUGUUAGAGCUCGGAUCUGUCACACAUAUUUCAGAUCUACAAGGUUAGAGUUUGAAUCUUCCGUGCAUGUUUCAGAUCUACAGGGUUAAGUUUCAAUCCAACGUGCGUGUUUUAGCUCUGAGGGUUUAGAUCUCGAAUCUGCCGUGCAUGUUACAGAUCUAUAAGAUUAUAUUUUAAUUAACUUUUUUAUUCAAGAUUUUAUUCAUUUUUCUUAUUAUUUCUUUCAGGUUCUCUAACCUUUCACAUCUUCAUGCUCUAAAUGGAAUAUUUAUAUUUUGUUUUUA